CCUACGGGAGGCAGCAGUGAGGAAUAUUGGUCAAUGGCCGUAAGGCUGAACCAGCCAAGUCGCGUGAAGGAAGAAGGAUCUAUGGUUUGUAAACUUCUUUUAUAGGGGAAUAAAGGUAUCCACGUGUGGAUCUUUGCAUGUACCCUAUGAAUAAGCAUCGGCUAACUCCGUGCCAGCAGCCGCGGUAAUACGGAGGAUGCGAGCGUUAUCCGGAUUUAUUGGGUGUAAAGGGUGCGGAGGUUGUUUUUGAAGUCAGCGGUGAAAGUUUGUGGCUCAACCCUAAAAUUGCCGUUGAAACUGGAAGACUUGAGUGUGUUUGAGGUAGGCGGAAUGCGUGGUGUAGCGGUGAAAUGCAUAGAUAUCACGCAGAACUCCGAUUGCGAAGGCAGCUUACUAAGCCAUAACUGACACUGACGCACGAAAGCGUGGGGAUCAAACAGGAUUAGAUACCCCUGUAGUC
rnacentral:rRNA from 1 species